UGGGGAAUCUUGCGCAAUGGGCGAAAGCCUGACGCAGCCAUGCCGCGUGAAUGAUGAAGGUCUUAGGAUUGUAAAAUUCUUUCACCGGGGACGAUAAUGACGGUACCCGGAGAAGAAGCCCCGGCUAACUUCGUGCCAGCAGCCGCGGUAAUACGAAGGGGGCUAGUGUUGCUCGGAAUUACUGGGCGUAAAGGGCGCGUAGGCGGACAGUUUAGUCAGAGGUGAAAGCCCAGGGCUCAACCUUGGAAUUGCCUUUGAUACUGGCUGUCUUGAGUACGGGAGAGGUGUGUGGAACUCCGAGUGUAGAGGUGAAAUUCGUAGAUAUUCGGAAGAACACCAGUGGCGAAGGCGACACACUGGCCCGUUACUGACGCUGAGGCGCGAAAGCGUGGGGAGCAGACAGGAUUAGAUACCCUGGUAGUCCACGCCGUAAACGAUGAGUGCUAGUUGUCGGCAUGCAUGCAUGUCGGUGACGCAGCUAACGCAUUAAGCACUCCGCCUGGGGAGUACGGUCGCAAGAUUAAACUUAAAUGAAUUGACGGGGUCAUAGCUGUUUCCU
rnacentral:rRNA from 1 species